GCCAGCAGCCAUAUCACCCUACAGCCCAAGACUGGUUGCCCACUGAAGCUAAGCAGGGUUGAGCGUGGUCAGUAGCUGGAUGGGAGACCUCCUGGGAAAACUAGGUUGCUGUUGGAA
rnacentral:rRNA from 1 species